CUUAUCUUGCACUCGUUCCUGCAACAUCUCAAUCAUGGUUUCUCGCGUCGUGUUGGUCGUGCUGGCGGUGGUCGUCUUAGCGGCCGCAGCAGUGGCUCUCCCUGACCCCACGAAACGGCACCUCGGAUUCGGCUUACACGGAGGAUACGGAGGAUACGGCCUCGGAGGAUUUGGCUUGGGAGGCUACGGAGGCUAUGGCUAUGGAUCCCACUAUCCUUAUUACGGAUCCUACUACGGAUAGAUAACGAAAGACCAAGUGAACGACAUUAGUGUUAUGGACUUCGUUUCCUGCCUUUCAGCUGGGUCGAUGAAGCCCAUAGGUUGUCAGCGAACAAUCAUCCAGACUUGUAUUUAUCUCUAAUAAAGCUUUAACUCUA